rnacentral:rRNA from 1 species
UGGAGGCAGCAGUGGGGAAUUUUCCGCAAUGGGCGAAAGCCUGACGGAGCAACGCCGCGUGAGGGAUGAAGGUCUUCGGAUCGUAAACCUUUGUCUUCAGGGACGAUAAUGACGGUACCUGAGGAGGAAGCCACGGCUAACUACGUGCCAGCAGCCGCGGUAAUACGUAGGUGGCAAGCGUUGUCCGGAAUUACUGGGCGUAAAGGGCGUGUAGGCGGUUUUUUAAGUCAGACGUGAAAUCUCCGGGCUUAACCCGGAAACUGCGUUUGAUACUGGAGAGCUUGAGGACCGGAGAGGGUAGUGGAAUUCCCAGUGUAGCGGUGAAAUGCGUAGAUAUUGGGAGGAACACCAGUGGCGAAGGCGACUACCUGGACGGCACCUGACGCUGAGGCGCGAAAGCUAGGGGAGCAAACGGGAUUAGAUACCCCGGU